rnacentral:rRNA from 1 species
GUGAGGAAUUUUCCGCAAUGGGCGAAAGCCUGACGGAGCAAUGCCGCGUGAAGGAUGAAGGCCUAUGGGUUAUAAACUUCUUUUCUCAGAAAAGAAUUAUGACGGUAUCUGAGGAAUAAGCAUCGGCUAACUCUGUGCCAGCAGCCGCGGUAAGACAGAGGAUGCAAGCGUUAUCCGGAAUGAUUGGGCGUAAAGCGUCUGUAGGUUGUUUAAAAAGUAUUCUGUCAAAGAUUAGGGCUUAACCCUAGAUAGGCAGAAUAAACUUUUAAGCUAGAGUUUGGUAGAGGCAGAGGGAAUUCCCGGUGGAGCGGUGAAAUGCGUAGAUAUCGGGAGGAACACCAAAGGCGAAGGCACUCUGCUGGGCCAAUACUAACACUGAGAGACGAAAGCGAGGGGAGCAAAUGGGAUUAGAUACCCUAGUAGUCC